AGGAAUUGCUGCAUCAUACAUCCACUUAUCUAUAUCCUUACUUUUUUUCGUGAUUCCUUUUUACAUGCCUUAUUAAUGGUUUGCUUCAUCUUUGAAUUUGUUCUAUCUUGUACCGCCUUUUCAGCACUUUUAGCAAAAUAUAAAUCCAUUGGACCUUUUAUCCUUGGCUUCUUUUUCAUAUUAUGAGUCUCACUACUUUCCUUUAAGCUUCCAUACGAUUACCCUAACAUCAUCUUCAUCU
rnacentral:misc_RNA from 1 species